GAGGAAUAUUGGACAAUGGGCGCAAGCCUGAUCCAGCCAUGCCGCGUGCAGGAUGAAGCAUCUAUGGUGUGUAAACUGCUUUUGUACGGGAAGAAACCACUCUACGUGUAGAGUACUGACGGUACCGUAAGAAUAAGGAUCGGCUAACUCCGUGCCAGCAGCCGCGGUAAUACGGAGGAUCCAAGCGUUAUCCGGAAUCAUUGGGUUUAAAGGGUCCGUAGGCGGCUUUAUAAGUCAGUGGUGAAAUCUCACGGCUCAACCGUGAAAUGGCCAUUGAUACUGUAGGGCUUGAAUUACCAGGAAGUAACUAGAAUAUGUAGUGUAGCGGUGAAAUGCUUAGAUAUUACAUGGAAUACCAAUUGCGAAGGCAGGUUACUACUGGUGGAUUGACGCUGAUGGACGAAAGCGUGGGUAGCGAA
rnacentral:rRNA from 1 species